UACUCCUACGGGAGGCAGCAGUGGGGAAUAUUGGACAAUGGGCGAAAGCCUGAUCCAGCAAUGCCGCGUGAGUGAUGAAGGCCUUAGGGUUGUAAAGCUCUUUUACCCGGGAUGAUAAUGACAGUACCGGGAGAAUAAGCCCCGGCUAACUCCGUGCCAGCAGCCGCGGUAAU
rnacentral:rRNA from 1 species